rnacentral:rRNA from 1 species
AUUGAACGCUGGCGGCAGGCCUAACACAUGCAAGUCGAACGAGUGGCGGACGGGUGAGUAAUGUCUGGGAAACUGCCUGAUGGAGGGGGAUAAAUACUGGAAACGGUAGCUAAUACCGCAUACCAUCAGAUGUGCCCACAUGGGAUUAGCUAGUAGGUGGGGAAACGGCUCACCUAGGCGACGAUCCCUAGCUGGUCUGAGAGGAUGACCAGCCAAACGGGAACGGAGACACGGUCCAGACUCCGACGGGAGGCAGCAGUGGGGAAUAGUGCACAAUGGGCGCAAGCCUGAUGCAGCCAUGCCGCGUGUAUGAAGAAGGCCUUAGGGUUGUAAAGUACUUUCAGCGGGGAGGCGUUACCCGCAGAAGAAGCACCGGCUAACUCCGUGCCAGCAGCCGCGGUAAUUC